rnacentral:lncRNA from 1 species
GACUCUGUCAUUUUUCCAGCCGCAACAAUACCAUCAGCCACCAACAUACAGACAUAUUAAUCCUAAUUAAUUAAAACAAAAAGAAAAAACUCAAACAGAAUUGCAACUAACGCGUGAACCCUAUUUCUCACCAUUCAUCCAUACUACAUCAAUUCAUUCACUCAUCAACACACUAAACAAACACAGAUCCUAACUACCUAUCUCACCAAAAUCAUCUCAACCCUCCUUUAAUUUUCUUACGUGGAUCACACUAAGAGUUUCCCUUAAAAAACCAUUUCUCUUCAUUUUUCCCCUCCCCCCAUUUUUUCCACUUCACCCUUCUAUAAAUCACCCUCAUACUCACUCAGUUUUCAUCAACAGAAUAACAUUGUUACUCUGCAAAACCUCCCUCAACCAGACACAAGCAACACACAGAGCGAAGCAGAAAAUAGUAGGAAAAAGGAGAGAAGUGUGAAGCAUUGCAAAGAAGCAAAGAUAAAUAGCUUCAGAAGUGUACCUGAGGUAUAACGGUUAUUAGAGGCACCGCCGGAAUACUCUCUGAAGUUGUAUACUCCGAUGAGGUAUUGUCUUGCUUCCCAUUUGUGUUUUUGCCUCGUUUUUGCUAUAGUUUUGAUGCUUUUAUCAUUCAUGUGUUCGAUUUAUUUUAAAUUGCUCUAACCUCAUGAAUAAUCAAAAAGGGGUUAGGGAUGUUUGGGGGUAACUGUUCAUAUUCUCUUUUGUUUGAUUAUUUGUGUGUUUUAGAUGUAAAAUCAUAUUUAGAGAAGAAAAUAAAUGAGAAUCAUUUAGGGAUUUAAUGUUGAUUUUCAGGUUAGGGUUUUUAAGGUUUUUACCCUUUGAUCCUAUCAUGUGGUGAGGUUUUUGAUCAUUCCGAGGUUGGAUUUGGAUGGAGGAUGAAAAUUACAGGGGGUUACUAUUGUUUGUUCAUCUCAAUCCAAUUAUUUCUCUUGCACCCUCA